UGUAUCUGAAGCCUGACGAGGAUGAGAACCUCCGGGGGCAAGAGGUUCGACCCGAGCGAAGCGAGAGAACGUUGCGUCAGCAACGGCCCGCAGGGCGAGUCAUCCUCUAUCACCGGCA
rnacentral:sRNA from 1 species